rnacentral:misc_RNA from 1 species
UGCACGUCAAAAACUCAUCUAGUGUAAGUUCUAAGUAGGCUAUUCUCUGCCUUUAUUGCUUUUUAAUUACCUUUUUCAAUGCUUUAGAUUAAGUUUCAUGUCUAUUUUCAUGGUGUAUUAAUUUCCAUUGGUAGCAUUUUAAGUGUAGUAUGUCAUAAGAAUCCUCAAAUAAGGCCAACAUAUAUUUUGGAGGCAUAUGAUGUCAACAACAAGUUGCGGAGUUUACUUGUCCAAAACUGAUAUGCUUUGUCUAAACAUGCAAUACCAAUCAAAACUGCAGUUAAUAUUUGUUUCUCCUAUUAACUGUAGUUUUUGUUUUUUGGAAGGGGGUUGAAUUGGGG